ACCAAAUGACGAAAUCCAAAAUAUGAAUGCUGCCACUUAAUUUUACAAACCUGAGCUUUUAUUCUGUAUGUUUGUGAAUCUUGGUGCCUGCAUGCGAGAACUUUGCUAGCAUUGUAAACGCAAACUGAACAUUAUGUUCACUUUCUUGAAAUUCAUUGAAACUACAGAUUUGUUUCUUUGAUUAAAGCAAGUGAUACAGGUUUCUCUCUAAUUGUUUGAUUCAACUGGAGAGAAACUAUUUACUUUUCCGAGUGGCAGCAAUAUUGAUAAUAUCUUUAGUAAUCUGAUGGUG